UUUAUAGUUUAAAGAUAUUUUGAAGACCACUAGAUUAUAUAGUCUCUAAAUUUGUCAAGUUCUUAAAUUAUAUGAUUCUAUGGUAUGUUUAAAAUCAUGAAAUGAGUUAGCGACUCUACAGUGAGGCUAAUUCUUAUCAGUGAAUUUAGUCCAUCUUUUAGCUAGAAUAGUUUGGGUUUGUGUUUCAGUUACCUUUUGUUGUGUUGCUAUUUUUUUUUUAAUUCUGCCUGCUGACUGGGGGGUCCCUCUGCUAAUCUUUCGGGGCUCACUCAGGUAGCUGCUUCCAGCUGGUGGAAGUUCUGAGACCGUUGCUCAGCCAAACUUCUCUUGCUACAUGAUCUUUAUCCAGGUGUCCUUACGGCAUGGUGGUCUCAAAGUGGUGUUCCAGGAGAACCAGCCUCAGUGCACAAGCCUUUAUCAAACUUUUGCUUGUGUUGUAUGUGAUGAUGAUCCAUUCACUAAAGCAAGUCCCAUGGCCAAGUCCAGAGUCAAUAUGGAAGGGGAUGCACAAAGACAGCAUUUAGAUAUUUCAUAUCCUGUCCAUGAAAUGUACCUAGAAGCCAAAUCUACCUACAUGUGAGAGAGGGAGAACUUCAAGAAAUUUCCAGAUUAAGAUUCUAUUCACUGAAAUGCCAGAAUACUUCUAAAUUCAUUGCUUACUUUCACUUCCCGUGCUCACAAAGGAACAACCCGGGUUCAGCUCAGGAACUGCAGGUCCGUGGAAAACGAAGCUGAAUAGCAAGCUGGAAGGAAUCUGGACAUUUCGGAGUGAGGACUUGGCUUUCCAUUAAUCUUCCAGACAAGAGUCAGGUUCACGACUUAGAAAUGAAAGAACUUGUGCAGCAGGUGACAUCAUGUUGCGGUAAUGCCUUGUUUAUCGGGGACAGACGUCAUCAUCUUGCCUCUUGCGUUGCCACCACUCUGCUUGGGAAUUUAAACAAAAUUCUAGCUUGUUAAAAGUGACCAGAUUUCUCUGAAAUAAAGAUUUUCUAAGAGG